rfam:Linderina pennispora strain ATCC 12442 DL89scaffold_12, whole genome shotgun sequence.
GGCUUGGUGGUCUAGUAGUAUGAUUCUCGCUUCGGGUGCGAGAGGUCCCGGGUUCAAUUCCCGGCCAAGCCC